rnacentral:rRNA from 1 species
UUCGCAAUGCCCGAAAGGGUGACGAAGCGACGCCGCGUGCGGGAAGAAGGCCUUCGGGUUGUAAACCGCUGUCGGGAGUUAAGAAAUGCAAGGGUGUUAACAGCAUCCUUGCUUGACUAAGGCUCCGGAGGAAGCCACGGCUAACUCUGUGCCAGCAGCCGCGGUAAUACAGAGGCGGCAAGCGUUGUUCGGAAUUAUUGGGCGUAAAGAGCACGUAGGCGGCUAUGUAAGUCGGUUGUGAAAGCCUUCCGCUCAACGGGAGAACGGCAUCCGAUACUGCAUGGCUCGAGCGCGGGAGGGGAGAGUGGAACUUCUGGUGGAGCGGUGAAAUGCGUAGAUAUCAGAAGGAACACCGGCGGCGAAGGCGACUCUCUGGCCCGUAACUGACGCUGAGUGUGCGAAAGCUAGGGGAGCAAACGGGAUUAGAUACCCCGGUAGUCCUAGCCGUAAACGAUGGGCACUAAGUAGAGGGGUUUU